UCUUACUGUAAUUAAUCAGUCCCAAAAAUUUCAUCAUUUCUCUGACUGUGGUGGGCUUAGAAUGACAGAGAAUGUCUGUCUUUUGAGUCUCAGUUAUGUGUAAGCCCGAUGCUGACACCAUGCGUCCUAGAAAAGCAACUGUGGGUCUCCCUAUCUGCAAUUUGUCCCUGGAAACCUUAAAACCUCCCUGAGCCAAGUGAGUCAACAAUGUCUCUGUAGCCACCAUUAUACUUUCCAAGUCAGCCUUUUAUAGCCUUGAAUUGUUGCCAUCUUAAAUUCAUAUCAUGAACAUUAUCACUACAAUUCUACAGUCUUUUCCCUAUAGUUGUCUGACAGUAGCUGAUGUCGAGAGGACCCUCACGCUACCACCAACUCCUCGUCUAAGACUGCUUAGUGGAACAGAGCAUGUGACUGCUGGAUGAUCAGCCUUGAGGGAAGGUCCUAUGUGGGGGCAUCCAACCAACAUUUGUGACGGGGCUUGCUGCUCUGUUUUCAGUGUACUACAUCUUUAAUCUACAGUGCCAAGAGGAGGCUGCCUGUACACUUGAAUUUAUUCAAAGGUGACUCAUUGGAAUCAGCCCAGAAAGAGGGACCAAGGCCAGUCGGGAUAAGAUAGUCUACAAGAGGACAGGGAAAGUUGUUCAGAAGAAGUCUGUCACAGUCAACCCCUGUGUGUCCACUCUUCUAAAGAACCUCAUAGACUUUGAAUGGAAUUUCAUUGGCCAGUAAGCGAUCUCUACCCAGUUCACAUCAUGGUUAGUUCCCAAUUUUUGUCCUAGAUUAUAUACUUGCUCUCCUGUCUACUAAGUAUGCUACUCACCACUUGAAAAAUUUGGGUAUUUAUGCUAUAGAAGACUGAAGAAAAACUAUGUGAACCAGAAGGGAAUAUGUCCACUUGGAGUGUUCUUGUAUAUGUUCAGUUUUGCCUUUUAAGAUCACUUUGUAUAAAAUGGUGAACAGAAUAUUGGCAGUCACUUGAUCAGAUCUAAUCUGAAAGAACUCAGAGUAUUCUCUUUCUGUUUUAAAAUAACCAUUUAAGUUCAACUAAGAGCUAAGGUAAACUCUAAAAAGAAAUGUUUAGACAACACAAAAAAUUUUACGCAACAUUUUGCAUUAGUCUUUUUGAGUUAUGACAAUUUCAUUUGAAAUUACAUUGAACCAACAAACUAGAUUGCGUUGGGGGAAUUGGCUUUUCCUCUUCAGUCAAAGAUUAUUUUAAUUACCCCUUACUUAUUAACUGUUAGACUAAAGGCAAGUUUUUAAGUUAACUCAUAAAAUUAUGUUGCUCCAACUGGCUUUACCAUAUUAUUUUAAAGCAAUUUUAUAUGUUGUCUGUUAAUUAACUCUAAUAAUGUUUACAAAAUUUUAAAUAGCAACCAUUUUAAAAAUUAAGU